rnacentral:lncRNA from 1 species
GGAGCUCCCCUGAAGUGUGAUAGGAACGGAACGGAUCAGGAAAAAAUCAAUGGAAGAAGUAUCCGUAUCUUCAAAUGAAGAGGAAAUCAACGAAGGAAGUAAUGAUUGUAGGAAAUAUCUUCUGCAUAAUUGCAGAAUUAAUGUGUAUAUAUUUACCUUUCGUGAUAGUUUGAUGCUAUAUUUAUUUUCCUUUCAAUGUAUAAUAAAUCAGAUCCCACUGAUUGAGUAUCAUUGCUGUCAUGCCUUAGAAUUAGCUUAGUGCACCUAUGUAAGUUU